rnacentral:rRNA from 1 species
UCCUGGCUCAGGACGAACGCUGGCGGCGUGCCUAAUACAUGCAAGUCGAGCGAGCCGAACCAAUUGAUUACCUUCGGGUAUGAAGUUAGGGAAGCGAGCGGCGGAUGGGUGAGUAACACGUGGGUAACCUACCCUAUAGUCUGGGAUACCACUUGGAAACAGGUGCUAAUACCGGAUAAAAAGAGAGAUCACAUGAUUUCUUUUUGAAAGGCGGCGUAAGCUGUCGCUAAAGGAUGGACCCGCGGUGCAUUAGCUAGUUGGUAAGGUAACGGCUUACCAAGGCAACGAUGCAUAGCCGAGUUGAGAGACUGAUCGGCCACAUUGGGACUGAGACACGGCCCAAACUCCUACGGGAGGCAGCAGUAGGGAAUCUUCCACAAUGGACGCAAGUCUGAUGGAGCAACGCCGCGUGAGUGAAGAAGGUUUUCGGAUCGUAAAGCUCUGUUGUUGGUGAAGAAAGAUAGUGAGAGUAACUGCUCAUUAUUUGCCGGUAAUCAACCAGAAAGUCACGGCCAACUACGUGCCAGCAGCCGCGGUAAUACGUAGGUGGCAAGCGUUGUCCGGAUUUAUUGGGCGUAAAGCGAGCGCAGGCGGAAAGAUAAGUCAGAUGUGAAAGCCCUCGGCUUAACCGAGGAAUAGCAUCGGAAACUGUCUUUCUUGAGUGCAGAAGAGGAGAGUGGAACUCCAUGUGUAGCGGUGGAAUGCGUAGAUAUAUGGAAGAACACCAGUGGCGAAGGCGGCUCUCUGGUCUGUAACUGACGCUGAGGCUCGAAAGCAUGGGUAGCGAACAGGAUUAGAUACCCUGGUAGUCCAUGCUGUAAACGAUGAGUGCUAAGUGUUGGGAGGUUUCCGCCUCUCAGUUGCUGCAGCUAACGCAUUAAGCACUCCCGCCUGGAGAGUACGACCGCAAGGUUAAAACUCAAAAGGAAUUGACGGGGGCCCGCACAAGCGGUGGAGCAUGGUUGUUUAAUUCGAAGCA